rnacentral:rRNA from 1 species
GACGAACGCUGGCGGCGUGCUUAACACAUGCAAGUCGAACGGAAAGGCCCUGCUUUUGUUGGUUGCUCGAGUGGCGAACGGGUGAGUAACACGCGAGUAACCUGCCCUUGACUUUGGGAUAACUUCAGGGAACUGGGGCUAAUACCGGAUAGGAGCUCCUGCUGCAUGGUGGGGGUUGGAAAGUUUCGGCGGUUGGGGAUGGACUCGCGGCUUAUCAGCUUGUUGGUGGGGUAGUGGCUUACCAAGGCUUUGACGGGUAGCCGGCCUGAGAGGGUGACCGGCCACAUUGGGACUGAGAUACGGCCCAGACUCCUACGGGAGGCAGAAGUGGGGUAUAUUGCACAAUGGGCGGAAGCCUGAUGCAGCAACGCCGCGUGCGGGAUGACGGCCUUCGGGUUGUAAACCGCUUUCGCCUGUGACGAAGCGUGAGUGACGGUAAUGGGUAAAGAAGCACCGGCUAACUACGUG